GCACGAAUGGCGUAAUGAUGGCCAGGCUGUCUCCACCCGAGACUCAGUGAAAUUGAACUCGCUGUGAAGAUGCAGUGUACCCGCGGCAAGACGGAAAGACCCCGUGAACCUUUACUAUAGCUUGACACUGAACAUUGAGCCUUGAUGUGUAGGAUAGGUGGGAGGCUUUGAAGUGUGGACGCCAGUCUGCAUGGAGCCGACCUUGAAAUACCACCCUUUAAUGUUUGAUGUUCUAACGUGGACCCGUGAUCCGGGUUGCGGACAGUGUCUGGUGGGUAGUUUGACUGGGGCGGUCUCCUCCUAAAGAGUAACGGAGGAGCACGAAGGUUGGCUAAUCCUGGUCGGACAUCAGGAGGUUAGUGCAAUGGCAUAAGCCAGCUUGACUGCGAGCGUGACGGCGCGAGCAGGUGCGAAAGCAGGUCAUAGUGAUCCGGUGGUUCUGAAUGGAAGGGCCAUCGCUCAACGGAUAAAAGGUACUCCGGGGAUAACAGGCUGAUACCGCCCAAGAGUUCAUAUCGACGGCGGUGUUUGGCACCUCGAUGUCGGCUCAUCACAUCCUGGGGCUGAAGUAGGUCCCAAGGGUAUGGCUGUUCGCCAUUUAAAGUGGUACGCGAGCUGGGUUUAGAACGUCGUGAGACAGUUCGGUCCCUAUCUGCCGUGGGCGCUGGAGAACUGAGGGGGGCUGCUCCUAGUACGAGAGGACCGGAGUGGACGCAUCACUGGUGUUCGGGUUGUCAUGCCAAUGGCACUGCCCGGUAGCUAAAUGCGGAAGAGAUAAGUGCUGAAAGCAUCUAAGCACGAAACUUGCCCCGAGAUGAGUUCUCCCUGACCCUUUAAGGGUCCUGAAGGAACGUUGAAGACGACGACGUUGAUAGGCCGGGUGUGUAAGCGCAGCGAUGCGUUGAGCUAACCGGUACUAAUGAACCGUGAGGCUUAACCUUACAACGCCGAAGGUGUUU
rnacentral:rRNA from 1 species